UUACGGCCAUAUCACAGUAAAAUACUGGUUCUUAUAUGAUCACCGAAGUUAAGCAAUGUUGAGCCUGGUCAGUACCUGCAUGGGUGACCACUUCAGAAUACC